rnacentral:sRNA from 1 species
GCGAAGCCCAGCUGCGCGCGCCUUGGGAUUGACUGUCCACGCUCGCCCGGCUCGUCCGACGCGCCCUCCGCCAGCCGCCAGACACAGCCGCACGCACUGCCGUGUUCUCCCUGCGGCUCGGACACAUAGUAUGACCAUUAGGUGUUUCGUCUCCCACCCAUUUUCUAUGGAAAACCAAGGGGAUCGGGCCAUGAUAGCCACUGGCAGCUUUGAAGAACGGGACACCUUUAGAGAAGCUUGAUCUUGGAGGCCUCACCGUGAGACCUUACAAAGCCAGAUUCCGGCAGAGUUCCUCUAUCUCGUCUUGUUGCUGAUUAAAGGUGCCCCUGUCUCCAGUUUUUCUCCAUCUCCUGGGACGUAGCAGGAAAUCAGCAUCAUGGUUGGGUUCAAGGCCACAGAUGUGCCCCCUACUGCCACUGUGAAGUUUCUUGGGGCUGGCACAGCUGCCUGCAUCGCAGAUCUCAUCACCUUUCCUCUGGAUACUGCUAAAGUCCGGUUACAGGUGAGGGGAUGAAGCCUGGGGGUCUUGAUGGUGUCUACUCUGUUCCCUCCCCAAAGACACAG